CCGAAAUAUAUUUAGGUAUAGCGUCUGGUUUUGUCUGUCCGGAGGUAGAGCACUGAUUAGGCUAGGGCCCUUCACCGGGUACCAACCCUAGACAAACUCCGAAUGCCGGCACAGAGCCACCAGGCAGUCAGUGGCAGGGUGAUAACGUCCUGUCGCGAGAGGGAAACAACCCAGACCACCAGCUAAGGCCCCUAAAUAACAGCUAAGUUGAUCAAAGAAAGUUGAGUUGCUCAGACAACUAGGAGGUUGGCUUAGAAGCAGC
rnacentral:rRNA from 14 species